ensembl:ncRNA C40C9.15 ncRNA
UGGAUACGUCACCAAAUUUGUCAUUUUUUGCGUGAAUUAGAUUUAAACUUAUUCACAUGAACUACAAUUCCUACAAUCCCACGGAUCAAUUCAAAAUUUAGUCUUGUAUGCACGACUAAUAGAGGAAAUAUAGUAUUUCAAAUAGUUACUAAUUUUUAUUUCUUCCAGCAGUUAGAAAUUUUUCAGUCAUUAUUUC